rnacentral:SRP_RNA from 1 species
GCUGGGCUUGGUAACGCGAGCCUGUAACUCAAGUGAGGGCUGGAUGGUUGGAUGUUUGGCCUGGUCUUGACGGUUGGGCCAUCUGGGUGCUUCUCUGGCCUGCCCUAUCCAAGUGAGAAGUGAGGUUAGGGUCCUCUAGCGAAGGCUUGGGGGCAAUGGCUCCUAAAGUUCAGGGCACUGCGCGAGGCUGGCUCCACAGAGCAGCGAACACCUGUCUCUUCUCACAGUGGAAGGAUAACAAGCCAGUUCUUGGGUGGUUCAUCAAAUGCCUAAUGGACCUCUCAACUAGACAACCAUCU